GACAAGGCACACCACCUUUUACGCUCUGAAUCUUCCGUCCCCGGCACUACAAAACGGGGAAAGUCGGACCAACCUAGACGUCUCAGGAAGUCAAGACGUACGGAAAACAAAGAUGCUGCGGGGCGCGCGCGGGGGCGCCAAGCCAGCCUUCCACCAGCGUCCGCCCUGCCCACUCCCGUCUCUGUGCGGUGCCGGGGACACCGCUUCCAACAGAAGCGCCGGCGCUGCACCCAAGCACCCGCGGGAGCAGGGGCUGAACCCGCGGGAGCAGGGGCUGAACGGGGAAAUAGAAGGCGGGCGGCGGAGCCGCCGCGGACCGCCAGGAGAGCAAACACAACCCUGCAGCGCGGCGCGCCCACCAGUCAGGCUGUCGGGGGGAGGGUGGGGGGCACGCGUCCCCAAGCAGGAGAAAAAGGAAGAGAGCAGCUGACCCCGGCCGGGGAAGGCGCAGCUCGGCCGAAGUGCCGCCGAGCUUGCAGAGGCCCGCGCGCCGGAGGGCCGCCCGCACCCCGCCCACCCCCUCCCCGGAGCCCCUUUUCGCAAACCUCUCCGACCCGGUCAGUCCCCGCCGGCGCCCCCAGACUCCCAGGCAGGGCCCAGCCCCCGCCCCAGCCAGUCCCCCCCCUCCCCCUCCGACCCUCCCCCACCCAGCCCCUCUCCGUCUCCAACUCUCCCUACCGCCCCCGGCGUUCUCCGACCCCGGGACCGCAACCCCCUCCCCUUUCCGACCCACCCCACCCUUCCCCCUUCCGACCCUCCCCCUCCCCGCCGCGCCCCCUCGGUCUUCAACUCUCCCCGCCCCCCGCCGGCGUUCUCCGCCCCCCUCCCCCACCCCUCCCCCUCGCCGCCCCCUCCGUCUCCAACUCUCCUCACCCCCGGGACCUGCACCCCCGCCCCCUUCCCUCCCGUCCCCCUCUCCAACUCUCCCCGCCCCGCCGUUCUCCGCCCCCCUCCCUCUUACUUCGCCUCCCCCUCCCCGCACCCCCGCCGUUCUCUGCCCCCGGGACCCACACCCCUCCUCCUUCCCGACGCCCCCACCCCCGUUCGCGCUCCCAGCCCCCGGCUCCCUUUUCAUCCCCUCCUCCACCUCCGCCAUUCCUCCCUCCCCGGGCCCCCGCCGGCCCCCUCCCCGAAGCUCAUCCCGCCGGGCCCCUCCGACGCCUCCCUCCUUGCCCCCCUUGCUCACCUCACUCUCCCAGGCGAGGCCCCCCAAGCCCCCUCGGCACCUCGCGCAUGCGCACAGCGCUCACCAGGACUCCAUGCCCCGGCAGGCUUUGCGCCAAACGCACCUAUCCCCCUCCCCCCAACCCUCCCAGACGCCCCGCGGCCGCUUCCCCCCUGCAACUACCCCGCCGCCCUCACCUAGAACAACAUCUCCCAGGGAGCACCGCGGCAAAGGCGGCCUCUCAUUGGCCCUCGCCUAGGCGACCCCCCCCCCUUGCCUCACGCCCGUCCCCGGAAGGCGCCGCAGGCGCCAGAACUACAUUUCCCAAGAUGCACCAAGGCGCCGCCAGGUUUUGGACUACAUUUCCCACAACGCACACAUACGGGUCUUCGCCCGGGCCCGCGCGCGGGCACCCCACCACCCGACCCCGGGAAGGCGCAGGCGCGCCGAAGGGGCCGAAGGAGGAGGAGCCAGGGCGGCGUUGCCGUGGAAACCGGAGCGGCCCGUCCGGAAACAAGGCCCCUGCAGCCCAGACGUCGGUCGGCGGGGAGGAGGGGCCCGAGCUGAGCUCCGCGCCAAUCAGAGCUGCGCGCUGCGUCUCCUUGACAACGGGCCGCGCGUCAUCCUCCCUCCCCGCCCCACGCGUACGCAGCGGGGUUCGAGUUGGCCACGCGGCCGCGGUGGCGGGCCUCCGGGGGGGGGCUCCCUCCGGGGGCUGGCCAGGGCGCCGUGCUCUGCCGUGUGAGCCUGGUGCGCGGGUCCUAGACUCCGUUUGCCUCCCCGCCUUUGAAUCGGGGAGGGGGCUGUCUACAAGGUCUCGACUGGCCUCCGGGGACCGGGCCGCAGUCUCCCCAUCUCAGACCCGGGAAAGAGAUGCACAGACGGGAACAAGACCGAGGCCGGCCCGGGAGCCGCACGGACCCCGGGCUCAGUCAUCGCCCGGGGCCACACCUCGUGUCCUUGGGAAGGGUGAGGCAGACACGCCCCUCGCCCCCACCUCCGCCUCCGGGGCUGGUGCGCAGACGGGGUGA
ensembl:lncRNA